rnacentral:lncRNA from 1 species
UUCCGUUGUGCCCUAACCCUCGCCUGCUCUCAUGGCCUCCUCCCUCCUGGAGGAGCCGUAAUCCCAUUUCCGCUUCUUUUAUCCUUCCUCGCUGCCAUUCUUCUCAUACCUUCUCUGAGGAUAUCCGCAGAGGCCACCGUUUUCUUUGCCCAAACCGUCUUCCCUUGCCGCUGCCGACCUCACAAGUAAAAAUUCCUCCAUUUUUUGUUAAUUUUAUUUAUUUAUUCGGAAAUUUUCCAUGGCUCUGGGCUGUUUCUUCCUGUGAAUUUUUUUAGAAAAAAAAUUAUUUUCUCUCUCUUUUGACUGGAUUUAGUUUUUCUUGUAUUAGUUUAAAGAAAAAUCUUGGUGUUCCAUAUAACGCAGGCUAGUUCUGCUAACUGAGGCGAUCUUAAGUUGUUCUUGCUGAAAAUUGGUUAAGUUUAUGAUUUUACGUUGUGAAAGUUAGCCCUAGAAUAUGAUUUCUAGUGCUAAUUUGUUAAUUUAGUAUGUGUAAGUGACUGGGACAAUUUAGAUGCUAGAAAUAAUGAUGCUGUUGAAAAAUUGUACCGGUAUGACAGCAUGCACUCGAGAAUAAGAUUUACCGUGGGAGGUGGGGUUGGAUAAGGCAAUGUAUAAGUCUCAGAAGAUUGUGGUCAUUUGGCUCUGUUCUUCGCUAAUUUAUGUCUUAUUGUAUUUUGUACUUUAGUUUGGUGACUACUGCCUGGU